CCUGUUUGUGUGUGUGUGUGUGUGUGUGUGUGUUUGCAUUGUGUGAAAGAGAUCUAGUUCUUAAACGUAUUACGUGUACUGAACCUGCACCUCGAUAAAAGACUACACUACACUACGCCUGAUCUGUUGGAAAGUCUCUUUGGUGUGUGUGUGUGUGUGUGUGUGUGUGUGUGUGUGUGUGUGUGUGUGUGUGUGUGUGUGUGUGUGUGUGUGUGUGUGUGUGUGUGUUGACUCUCUCUCUCUGUCUCCAGGUUAAUCCAGUUCCCCCCUCCGCCCUGUAAAGGGGCCAUCGGCGUGACAACAGAAGACUUAGAAUGUUUGGACAGUGGGCAGUUCCUAAAUGAUGUCAUUAUCGACUUCUACCUCAAGUAUCUCCUGGUUGAGAGGACUCCUAAGGAGUUUGUGGAGAAGUGUCAUGUCUUCAGCAGUUUCUUCUACAAGCAGCUCACACGGAGGGACAACGCCAAUGAAGACAGCACCAGCACAACGUAAGAGAGAGUGUGUGUGUGUGUGUGUGUGUGUGUGUGUGUUUGUGUGUGCGUGUUUGACUAUGACACAUUCUGUGUUUGUGUGUGUGUUUUACAGCCAAUACUUUAAAUGCUGGCUCUCCCCAUUUUUUUGUAUAUGUCAUUGUGAAAGACCGCUCAAGCCGGCCAUCUCACGAUGUGGGAUGUAGGCUUCUGGAUCGUGGUUGCAGGUAGUCAGGAGAACACACAGCGCAGGAGACAGUGGCUUUCUCAUAAAAAUACAGCUGUAUAUUUAUUUACAACAGGGACUCAAACCCCAAAACAUAUAUACAAAAAAACCAAGGGACUUGAACCCCAAAAUCAUAAGCACAUACACCAGGGUAAUCCCAACCCCCAAAACAAAGAAACAUACCCUGAACAAAACUAAAGCUAUUAAAACAGACAAGGUCCAACUGUGUCGCACAUGUUUCGUCUAGGACCUUGUCUCAGCUUCUUGCAGCCUGUUCAGUCUGUCUCUCGAACCACAAUGAGUGCGCCUUUUAAUAGUGGCACCACCAGGGGCUAAUUUAGCCCAAUCAGUCCCAAUUGGACCCGUCCACAGGUGCAGGGGAACAAAGUGAGAAGGGGGAGGGUAUUUCACCUUUUCACAGUCAUGUAAUAAUUAUGUAUUGUAGCGUGUGUGUGCCACAUGUGUGCUAAUAAUCAUGUAUGUAGCGUGUACAUCUGCCACCAUGUGUGCUAAUAUGCUUUGUCCUCUGAUACGUGUGUGAAUCCUGAGUCUCUGAGUCUUCUCUUCUCUCCUCCUCCUUCCCAAGCAGAUGGGUCCCCCCUUUGAGCUGAGGUUCUGCUCCAGGUUCCUUCCUGUUAAAAGGGAGCGUUACCUUAGUGCUUGCUCUCGGGGGGGGGGGAUCAGGCUCUGGGUUCUGGAAAGCGCCUGGAGACUAUUUCAAAUGUUAUUGGCGCUAUAGAAAUCAAAUUGAAUUUCACAUAGUGUGUGUGUGUGUGUGUGUGUGUGUGUGUGUGUGUGUGUGUGUGUGUGUGUGUGUGUGUGUGUGUGUGUGUGUGUGUCUCUUCCAGAGCUGAACACCGGCGGCACCAGCGCGUGAAGACCUGGACACGGAAUGUGGACAUCUUCAGCAAAGACUUCCUGUUUGUACCUGUCAAUCAAGAGUGAGUCUCCUAAAGAUUGGCCAUGUAAAACCUGUGUGUGUGUGUGUGUGUGUGUGUGUGUGUGUGUGUGUGUGUGUGUGUGUGUGUGUGUGUGUGUGUGUGUGUAGUGGCAAACUUGGAGUGUACUGGGAAGUGCUGCCACCUCUACCUGUCUCUCAAGUGUGUGUGUGUGUGCGUGUGUGUGUGUGUGUGUGUUUCAGUUUGCUUCCCUGCCCUGAUGAGGUGUGUGUUUGUUUGUGUCCCUCCCCUGAUGAGGUGUGUGUGUGUGUGUCUGUGCCCUGAUGAGGUGUGUGUGUGUGUGUAUGUGCCCUGAUGAGGUGUGUGUGUGUGUGUUUGUUGUGUCUGUGCCCUGAUGAGGUGUGUGUGUGUGUGUGUGUGUGUGUGUGUGUGUGUCUGUGCCCUGAUGAGGUGUGUUAUAUAUGUGUGUGUGUGUGUGUGUGUGUCUGUGCCUUGAUGAGGUGUGUGUGUGUGUGUGUGUGUGUGUGUGUCUGUACCCUGAUGAAGUGUGUGUGUGUGUGUGUGGCUGUGCCCUGAUGAGGUGUGUUAUAUGUGUGUGUGUGUGUGUGUGUGUGUGUCUGUGCCCUGAUGAGGUGUGUGUGUGUGUGUGUGUGUUUGUUGUGUGUGUGUGUGUGUGUGUGUGUGUGUGUGUGUGUGUCUGUGCCCUGAUGAGGUGUGUGUGUGUGUGUGUGUGUUUGUUGUGUGUGUGUGUGUGUGUGUGUGUGUGUGUGUGUGUGUCUGUGCCCUGAUGUGGUGUGUGUGUGUGUGUGUCCUGAUGAGGUGUGUUAUGUCCGUAGGAAUCACUGGUACCUUGUGGUGAUCUGUUUCCCUGGGCUGGAGGAGCCCCAGUGCGAGGCCUUCCAGGGCCCAGCGGUGGUGAGGGCGUCUGGGGAGGAGGGCUCCAGCGAGGCCCCCCCCGAGCCCCAGGCCCAGGAGGCCAGCCCAGACGCUCCUGCGCCAAGUGAAGCCGACAGAGAGACAAGUACAGUCCACGGUGUGUGUGUGUGUGUGUGUGUGUGUGUGUGUGUGUGUGUGUGUGUGUGUGUGUGUGUGUGUGUGUGUAAUCUGAUGUUUGUUUCAUUCUAAUGAGUGUGUGUGUGUGUGUGAUCUGAUGUUUGUUUCAUUCUAAUGAGUGUAUGUGUGUAUGGGAAUACCAUGACACACUGAUCCAGUCUGACCCAGGUGCAUAGGCUGCAAUGUGAAUACAAGACUAAUAAAGUACUGUUCCACUGUUACA
rnacentral:lncRNA from 1 species